AGUUAGGGAUGUGUUGUUAUAUUAUGCAAUGGAAUGCUACUGUUGAUGCUAUUACCAUAUUUGAAGCAGCUGAAGGGCCAUAAGGUCCAUAGUGUUGUUAAAUCUCAUGUGCCAUCUAAUUAUAGAGGAGGUAAGCUGUUUUAUGGCCAUAAUAAUGGUGACCAUGGAAGGCACCGUGUAAAUACUAAAGAUGGAGUGAGAACAAAUCAGGUGGUAGCUGGGAAUAACAGCGGACCAUGGAUAAGCG
rnacentral:lncRNA from 1 species